rnacentral:rRNA from 1 species
UACGUAGGGUGCGAGCGUUAAUCGGAAUUACUGGGCGUAAAGCGUGCGCAGGCGGUUUUGUAAGCCAGAUGUGAAAUCCCCGGGCUCAACCUGGGAAUGGCAUUUGGGACUGCAAGGCUUGAGUGCGGCAGAGGAGACUGGAAUUCCUGGUGUAGCAGUGAAAUGCGCAGAUAUCGGGAGGAACACCAGUGGCGAAGGCGGCACUCUGGGCCGGUACUGACGCUGAGGAGCGAAAGCGUGGGGAGCGAACAGG